UACGAAGGGGGCUAGCGUUGCUCGGAAUCACUGGGCGUAAAGGGUGCGUAGGCGGGUCUUUAAGUCAGGGGUGAAAUCCUGGAGCUCAACUCCAGAACUGCCCUUGAUACUGAGGAUCUUGAGUUCGGGAGAGGUGAGUGGAACUGCGAGUGUAGAGGUGAAAUUCGUAGUUAUUCGCAAGAACACCAGUGGCGAAGGCGGCUCACUGGCCCGAUACUGACGCUGAGGCACGAAAGCGUGGGGAGCAAACAGG
rnacentral:rRNA from 1 species